UACGUAGGGGGCGAGCGUUGUCCGGAAUUACUGGGCGUAAAGGGCGCGCAGGCGGUCGUGUAAGUCCGCUGUGAAAGACCGGGGCUCAACCCCGGGGUGUCAGCGGGGACUGCACGACUGGAGUCCCGGAGAGGGAGGCGGAAUACCUGGUGUAGCGGUGGAAUGCGUAGAGAUCAGGUGGAACACCGAUGGCGAAGGCAGCCUCCUGGACGGGUACUGACGCUGAGGCGCGAAAGCGUGGGGAGCGAACGGG
rnacentral:rRNA from 1 species